AUUGCUUAGUGGAUUUCCACUAAGCUGCCAGGGGGAACCUCCAUUCUUAUCCUCUCCCUGUACGCAUGAGAGAGAGAGGGAAAGGGAGAAAAGGGAAAAAGAGAAGAAGAAGAAGAAAGUAAUGAAAUUGGUGUCGUUUGAUGAGCCGAUCGAUCCCUCGUACGUGUUGGAUUUUUCCGGCGCUUCGACUGCGAAGAGCCGAUUUUGAGACCGUUUCGUCGACGGAUUUUUCCGUGACUUUCGGGUUGUUGUGGCUGCCAUGCGGAUUGGGUUUGGGCUGUGAGGUGGUUUCCGAGCAGUGGUAAUCUGCAAGAUAUAUCAACCUAAGGAUUGAAGUCCUAGCGGGGAAUUGACCGCGUACAAACCUAAUUGAAGGUUAAACGAACGCGUUGGCGAAGUCGGUUCGGCAAUCCGUCGAGCCUAUACGAAAAUAUCGCCAAAAGGACAUUUUCGACUCCAAUUGUCACGAACGAGGAUUGCGAUUCUUGGAAAAGUACGAGAAGUGAAGUUCUCACAUUCUGAUACAAAAUAAAGGUGGGUUGUGCUUUACCGAAGUGAUUAGGUCACUUCCAUGCCAAAGUAGAUCAUGGUUUCAUUUGACGCAUAUAUGAAUAUGAUUGUCGACAUAUGAACAUUAAUGCUAAAUGCAUAUGAGUAGGCAUAUAUGAUUGUAGACAUAUGAUGAUUAAUGCUAGAUGAUCUAUAAUGGUUAUCAUAUGAAUAUGAAUGCUAGAUGCACAUGGAUAUGAACGCUAGAUGCAUAUGAAUGUAAUUGUCGAAAUGCGAACAUAAAUGCUAGAGCAUAUAUAAUUGUUGAUAC